rnacentral:sRNA from 1 species
CCCCGCACUCACGUGCGGGGCUAUUGAAUACCGUCGCUUCGCGACU